GACGAACGCUGGCGGCGUGCUUAACACAUGCAAGUCGAACGAAGUGGCGAACGGGUGAGUAACGCGUAAUUAACCUGCCCUUCAGAGGGGGACAACAGUUGGAAACGACUGCUAAUACCGCAUACUGAAGGAGGGGAUUGCGUCUGCUUAGCUAGUUGGGGGGGUAACGGCCCACCAAGGGGAUGAUCAGUAGCAGGUCUGAGAGGCUGAACGGCCACAGUGGGACUGAGAUACGGCCCAGAGUCCUACGGGAGGCAGCAGUGGGGGAUAUUGCACAAUGGGCGAAAGUCUGAUGCAGCGACGUCGCGUGGGGGAUGAAGGCUUUCGGGUUGGAAACCUCUUUCGCUAGCGAACGGGUAGGUGGAGAAGAAGCGCCGGCUAACUACGUGCCAGCAGCCGCGGUAAUUC
rnacentral:rRNA from 1 species